UCCAGACUUCUGUGCAGCUGAAGGGCUUUUCCUCUAAUAUUCUUCUAAAAAGAGCAAAAGACGAUACAUUGUUUUAGCAAAAACACAGGGAGGCAAAGCGCAAUCCAAAAGUGAGUUACAAUUAAUCAGCUGAAUAUCAUACUGAAUACUAUUUGACCACAUUAAGCACAUGAAAUACAAAGCACUUACAAUGUGCUCUUCACACCAAGCCAGUAUUCAGCGUAUGCUGUGUCAGACAUGUUUUGUCACCAUAAUCAUACAGCCUUUCCCGCACCAGGUGCCAGAGCAUGAGCCACAAAGGGCAGAGCCUCUCCAAAAUGCUUUGAUGUCCUUCCCUUGCAGGCAGGUGUGGCUGCAUUGUACAGAAAUGCAAACAGCGCCAUUUCUGUGAAUUCUAGGUACUUCAUUGUAUUUCAUUACAGUUAUUAUUUGUUUUGUUAAAGGUUCGUUAAUGGGAGAAACAGGGGAGAAUCACAGGGAGCCGAGCUGACACCAGUUCCGGGGAAGCUUAGGGCAACAGGCGAGCAGACAGCAGCGGUGGCUGAGCCCGGCGCGGCUGGUCCGUGUCCGCUCACUGCCCAGUGGGUGGUGCUGCGGGCAAAGGUUGCUCGGAGGCCCAGCCCGACGAGCCGCGCUCCGCGGCCGCCGCAUCCCCGCGGCCCCGGCUCCGUGCCCCAGGACCGGCGGGACCGGGGAGCCGCGGCUGCGGCUGCUGCGCUUCGAAGGGUUAAAAGCCGUCGAGCCCCAUGCGUAGGAGGGGUCGGGACAGUGUGGAGAGAAAUGCAGAAAAAGUUGAAGUAACUGUUUUCCUGUUUUAGUGAUCCUAGUUUCUCAAGAAGGAAAUUACACUAAUACUGAAUCACAGUUCUGUAUGCAUCAUCAUCGUAUACAGAUGUUUUCCAUGGUGAGGAAGUUGUUUUUAGGUGCUGAGUGUGUCCACAUUUGUCAAGCUUUACCAGUUUCCUUCAAAACAAGGAUCAGAAUGGCCACUUUAAGAUACAUCAUUAUAGGUCUUGGCAAGGUCGUCCCAUAUCCCUACUAUCGCACAAUGGAGAAAUGUGAAACUAUGUAAUCAUGAAAUAAAAUUAACUGAUGCAAGCUUCAAACCUACAGUAUGCUAUUGCAAAGCCUGCUCUGGUCAAGUGAUGACACUCUCGUGAGUGGCUGAGAUCCCCAGUAAGCAGAGGGAUUCCCACACUCACCUCCAGUUUGCUGCAGAACUGCAAGAACAUCUUUGGUAAUCAUCUUAGUCCUGUGCCUAUCUGUCAGCAUCAGCUUCUGGAUAUUCAGGCCUACUGAUUUGGGAAAACCCAAAAGCUUAUGGGGCAGUACUAAUAAGAAGUUGUAACCAUCAAUCAACUUCCCAGAACCACUGUAUGUUAAAAUUUUUUCUGUACUUUUAAUUGUCUUUCUAUCAAGGUGCUCAAGACACAAAUAAACCACCAAUAAAUGCCAUACCUAAGCUAUAACAUUUUACAUUUCCAAUGAAAAUUUUUGGCUGUUACACUUGUGAUCCAAUAAACAAGUUCACUAAUUAUUUUCUUUUUCUGCCUCCUAUGAAUUUUCUACCCAGGAGCUUUUGCCUCUCUUCUGAGGAG